rnacentral:rRNA from 1 species
AUUGAACGCUGGCGGCAGGCCUAACACAUGCAAGUCGAGCGGAUGAAGGGAGCUUGCUCCUGGAUUCAGCGGCGGACGGGUGAGUAAUGCCUAGGAAUCUGCCUGGUAGUGCGGGAUAACGUCCGGAAACGGGCGCUAAUACCGCAUACGUCCUGAGGGAGAAAGUGGGGGAUCUUCGGACCUCACGCUAUCAGAUGAGCCUAGGUCGGAUUAGCUAGUUGGUGGGGUAAGGGCCUACCAAGGCGACGAUCCGUAACUGGUCUGAGAGGAUGAUCAGUCACACUGGAACUGAGACACGGUCCAGACUCCUACGGGAGGCAGCAGUGGGGAAUAUUGGACAAUGGGCGAAAGCCUGAUCCAGCCAUGCCGCGUGUGUGAAGAAGGUCUUCGGACUGUAAAGCACUUUAAGUUGGGAGGAAGGGCAGUAAGUUAAUACCUUGCUGUUUUGACGUUACCAACAGAAUAAGCACCGGCUAACUUCGUG